CUUCUGAACAGCCCCUUUCAUGCCUUUAACAGGAUCAGUAAGCACCAACUCAGCUCCAAAAGCACGGAGAAUAGUUCUUCUUUCAAGACUCAUUGAUGCAGGCAUUGUGAUGAUAAGCUUGUAUCCCUUGGCAGCAGCCAUGAAUGCUAAUCCUAUGCCCGUAUUUCCGCUUGUAGGCUCAAUCAGAACACUCUGCCCUGGUGUGAUGAGGCCCUUGGCCUCUGCAUCCGCGAUCAUGCUGUAACCAAUCCUGUCUUUGACACUAGAGCAUGGCUCCAUCAUCUCUAGUUUAGCAGCAAUACGAGCAACACAACCAUCCACAACAUUGUUGAGAUAUACCAAUGGAGUAUUGCCAAUUAAUUCAGUCACAUCUUUAGCGAUUUUGUGUUUCUCAACAGCCAUAGCUUCAGAUUACUGCAAUUCAAGAAAACAAAUAUUAAAAAUCAAAUAUUCUCACACCACCUAAACAGAAAUCAAUCAACCCCAUUUCCUCAUCUUGAAUACCAAUCUUUUGCAGCCAUAUAUAAAACCUUUCUUUUUGUUUUAUUUAAUAAAUUUAUUAACAAGGAGAAGGGUUUGAAUUGUUUUUUUCCAGAGGAUCUCAAUCUUUAGCAAUCAAUACAUAUAAUUAAUGGGAAAAAAAGUAACUAGGAGCUAUAAAC
rnacentral:misc_RNA from 1 species